AUAUGCAAAAAGACAAGUCACUCGUACGGUUCCUAGCGUAUCCCCAAAUCGAAUCGCCCGUGGUGGCGGCGGCGGCGGCGGCCUGAAUCGCCCCUGGCGGCGACCGACGCAUUCCUACGGUUUUUUUUCAUCGGAGCGGGCGGCGGAAGGCGGAGGGUGCAUCGGAGAGGGGCCUCUUCCUCGCGGCGGCAGCGGCAACGACGGGCUUGUUCCUCGCGGCGGCAGCGGCGGGCUUGUCCCUUGCGGCGGUGGUGGCGGCGCGGCUGCGUGGGGGAAGGGAAGCAGCUGCGGCAAUGGCCGCGUGGGCGAAGAGAAGCGGCUUCGGUAGCAGAGGGGCGCAAGGUCUGCUGCCGCAACAGACGCCUAGGGUUCCACCUUCUCCAACCCUAACCAGCUCUGCCGCAGCCAACGAGAUCUCGCUCUCACCGUCAACACCAGCAAAGGCUUCAACCGUCAUCCACCUAAGAGAGAAAACCUAUUGGAGAAAACAAUGGACUACUUUCCAGAGAGAUUGGACUUCUUACACGGUACCAUGGCUCUGUGAUCAUUUUGAAACAGAAGAAUUUAAGGCUAACCGCUCAAACCUACCUUAUGUUCACAUGAAGGAACAAAGUCAUUUGUAGCUGUUCAACAUGAAUUAGUAAGUCACUAUUACUUAUCUUUAUCUUGUGUCACAAUUGUUGUGAAAGCAGAAUAUAUAAACUUGUAGCUAUCUUAUAUUCAUGUCUUUUGACUUCAAAUCUUGUAUUAUCAGAAUUGUGUCAAUAUCAGACUGUACAAGGAGUGUACUCUAGUGAUAAGAAGGGAUGGGCAUCAGAAGAUGCCAGGAAUAAACAUGAAGAAAUGUUGCAGAAGCGAAAUGAACAUAUAAAGGAGGGCGAAGUACCUUUAACCGAGCAACAGAUUUGCGAGCAGGUGCUUGGUAAGGCAUAUGGUUACAUCAGAGGUCAGGGUCAUGGACGGCACUAGUGCGAGACGGCUCGGUUUCCCAACUGAUAGAUCUGUUUUCAGGUCAGGCUACAGAUCUAUUCUUCUGAUGGUAUGAUCAGUAUAACUCUCAAAAAGUCAGUUUGCCUCUCAUCGUGUGAUCUGUCCACCAUUUCUGCUGCUACUUUCACUGUUGUCAUGACAAGAAUCGUAUCCUUGACAACAUAAUGGAUCUGGGCGGAACCAUCGAGUCAAAGUUGUAUGGACGCUGUUCCAGUGCUCCAUGUGAGCAACACGAGAAAUCUUGCGUAGGGAGUUGGUGAUCUCUUUGAUAAUAACGUCUGCCGUGGACUUGAAGUGAGGUGUCACCAGACGUAAGCAUUUUACUGCAGUACCGAUUAUGUUUGUACUCUCCGAAAGACGCAGCAUCACCCCAAGCCGAAAACUGUUCUUGGGUUGCUUGUAAUCUUCGUAUAUAAAGGAUAGCAAGGCCUCCA